UACGAGGGGGGCGAGCGUUGUUCGGAAUUAUUGGGCGUAAAGGGUGCGUAGGUGGUCCGUUAAGUUCGUUGUGAAAGCCCUGGGCUCAACCCAGGAACUGCUUCGAAUACUGGCGGACUUGAGGCUAGUAGAGGUCACUGGAACUGACGGUGGAGCGGUGAAAUGCGUAGAUAUCGUCAGGAACGCCAAUGGUGAAGACAGGUGACUGGGCUAGUUCUGACACUGAGGCACGAAAGCGUGGGGAUCAAACGGG
rnacentral:rRNA from 1 species